rnacentral:lncRNA from 1 species
CUCUCCCCUCUGCUUAGUGUUUGGCUGGUAAUCCAAGUGGGAUGAGGAGCAUUGCAGACUGCAAUUCUCUAGUCUGUGAAUUUAAUGGCACUGUCACUGGUUUGAAGUGAGUGGUUUCUGGCAAUCAACAUCUGCAUGGAAAUAUUUGUCCUGUGGCUCAGGAUGCUGUAGAGCCAAUGGCAGGAGUUGACUGGAAAGAGAGACCUAUCAAUUGUCAGGAGGGUAGGUCCAAGGAAAUCUGUAGAAGAGGAUGCACUACAUGUCACUUCAUGGCAUGCUUGAGAAGAGUGCCUUUUAGGCAGAACUCUGAGAAGGAUGAAUAUGUAUUAUCCUCAGCCUGAAAUGCUCGUUCACCCUCUCUGAGCUCCUCAGUUGUGCCCAUGCUCAGUCCUGGAGACAAUGCUGCUUCCUAAUCUGCAAGGCACUCUGCUGGCUGCUUCCUCUGGAGGACAUCCCUUUCUCAUGCUAUUCAUGGGAUUUCCAAACAAUGAAAUUUGCUACUAUAUAGCUGCUUAACUGAAAAUAACCUAGUGCUAAAUAGCUCUGAUUGUUUUUUAAUGUUUGUGUGAGGAGGGAAAGGAGGCUUUACAAACACUGCUGGUAUGAGGGGUCACUUGUCAUUGAGGAACCACAGCUGUAUCACUUACAACCAUUAGGAACUGCAACCAUGGUGGCAGCCAAUAAGAUCAGAAUAAGAACACAAUAAAUACCUGUUGCCUUAUCCUCUGAUUUAUUGC